rnacentral:rRNA from 1 species
GUGAGGAAUAUUGCGCAAUGGAGGCAACUCUGACGCAGUCAUGCCGCGUGCAGGAAGAAGGCGCUACGCGUUGUAAACUGCUUUUAACCGGGAAGAAACCCCAGGACGUGUCCUGGGUUGACGGUACCGGAGGAAUAAGCACCGGCUAACUUCGUGCCAGCAGCCGCGGUAAUACGAAGGGUGCAAGCGUUAUCCGGAUUCAUUGGGUUUAAAGGGUGCGUAGGCGGAGCGUUAAGUCAGUGGUGAAAUCCUGCAGCUUAACUGUAGACUUGCCAUUGAUACUGUCGCUCUUGAGUGCGCUUGAAGUGGGCGGAAUGUGCCGUGUAGCGGUGAAAUGCUUAGAUAUGGCACAGAACACCAAUUGCGAAGGCAGCUCACUAAGGCGAUACUGACGCUGAGGCACGAAAGCGUGGGGAUCGAACAGGAUUAGAUACCCGGGUAGUCC